CUUCACGAGACACAGCUGCCAAGCUCCGACUUGGCUGUGCACCAACCCCAUGUUCAAGGGUGGUUCGGAUGACGAAGCGGCCUGCACCUGACGCAGCGCACGAACAAGCU
rnacentral:ncRNA from 2 species